GGGGAUCUAGCUUAGCAGUAUAAGCACUUGCCUAAAAAGCAUGAAGUCAUGAGUUUGAUCCCCA
rnacentral:tRNA from 1 species